rnacentral:lncRNA from 1 species
CAACCUAAAAGGAUUUAAUUAUUAUAAGUCCGAGUUAAAAAUUUAGACUUAUACAUUAUCCCCGGAAAAAAGGGAUACUUCACAUAAACUUCUAUACGCAAAUCAUCAUCUUUUUUCUGCUUUCAAAUAUAAUAUCGUCAUGCUGCCAUUAUUAUCUUGCUUUGUCACUUCUGGUUGCAUCUUGUAGGAGCAAGUAUCAAAGGGCAAUGACCUGGAUC